rnacentral:rRNA from 1 species
GAUGAACGCUGGCGGCGUGCUUAACACAUGCAAGUCGAACGGAAAGGCGCCUGCUUUCAUUGGUACUCGAUUGGCGAACGGGUGAGUAACACGUGUGGGAACUGCCCUUCACUUCGGGAUAAGCCUGGGAAACUGGGUCUAAUACCGGAUAGGACGAUGGUUUGGAUGUCAUUGUGGAAAGUUUUUUCGGUUUGGGAUGAGCUCGCGGCCUAUCAGCUUUUUGGUGGGGUAUUGGCAUACGAAGGCGUCGACGGGUAGCCGGCCUGUGAAGGUGUACAGCGACAUUGCUCCUACGAGAGGGAGCAGACGCGUAUGGGAGGCAGUAGUGGGGAGCCUUGCACAGUAAGGGCAAGUGAGAUGCAAAGGCGUCGGGUGGGGGAUGACCGCCUUCUGGUUAUAAACUCCUUUGGAUAGAGACGAACCGAAAGUGACGGUACCUGGAGAAGAAGCACCGGCUAACUACGUG